UGCCAGCAGCCGCGGUAAUACGUAGGUGGCAAGCGUUGUCCGGAUUUAUUGGGUUUAAAGGGUGCGUAGGCGGUUCCUUAAGUCAGUGGUGAAAUACGGCAGCUUAACUGUCGAGGUGCCAUUGAUACUGGGGAACUUGAGUACUGAUGAGGUAGGCGGAAUGGACGGUGUAGCGGUGAAAUGCUUAGAUAUCGUCCAGAACACCGAUAGCGAAGGCAGCUUACUAAGGAGUAACUGACGCUGAUGCACGAAAGUGUGGGGAUCAAACAGGAUUAGAUACCCUGGUAGUCCACACUGUAAACGAUGAUUACUCGAUGUUGGCGAUACACAGCCAGCGUCUUAGCGAAAGCGAUAAGUAAUCCACCUGGGGAGUACGCCGGCAACGGUGAAACUCAAAGGAAUUGACGGGGGCCCGCACA
rnacentral:rRNA from 1 species